rnacentral:tRNA from 1 species
UGGGAUGUAGCCAAGUGGUAAGGCAACAGAUUUUGAUUCUGUGAUCAUAGGUUCGACUCCUAUUAUCCCAA